rnacentral:lncRNA from 1 species
AUUUUUUACAAAACAAAACAUGUAAUGGCCUAAAUGGCCUAAACUUCUUCGUGGGAAGCAUUGUCACCCUCAAGAUUUUCCAUCCUCGGACUCUCACAAGUCAUCGGGCUCCUCGUAAUCUUUAGGAAUGCCACAUUUUGGCCUAGGCUUCGAGCUUUUUGGCGUUCUCAAUCAUAGCUGAUAUCAUGAAUUUCCUCAAGGUCCUCCCUUUGAGAUUUCCACCUAGAAUGCUCGAUGAUGUCGUUUGCUUGAACCUAAACCUCAUUGGCAUCAGCCUUAUAAGCGGCCACCUUCUCUUUUGUAUCGACUUCAAUUAAUUUAGCCUCCACCUUGGUUUCAAGCUGCGUGGCAAGAUUUCCUCGAUUAGAGACGGUCAUAUUCAACUGCUACAUGGAGCUCCUUGAUCUUUCUGGCCUGCGCCAAGGAUUUCUUCUUUAUACCUCAGAGUUGGACCUCAGCUGAAGUCAUUUGAGCCCGGGCGGUCUCAUGGACCUCAGCGGAAAUCCAUCUUCUUUUUCCAUUCUUCGGCAUCGACCUUUACUCUAUCCACCUCCACUCGAACUUGCUCGAUCUGGUCAAGCUUCUUUUGGACAUGCGCGUUUGAAACAUUAGUCUCUGUGUUCGACUCAUCAUCACUAACCUCAAAUACUCUUCUUACUAGUUAAACCAAGUUUGCAUGAUCCUUCCGAGCCACCUCUAACUUAGCUUGGAGUUUCUUGACCUCCACUUCACAUUGCUCACUAAGAAGUUUGUGAGCAUAUUUCCCCUUAAGGAGCCCUCAAUUCUCGACCUCAUGAUGGGUUAACUCCUCUCGAAAUCAGAGAAAGGCCUCGUGAUGAAGCUCAGAAGCCUACGAAAAUAGAGAAAGAAGUUAUACAAAUUAGCCUAAGUACAAACUUGAAAUCAUCAAGAGGUAUCUUAAGGUGCCCGGUUUAGCACAUGUUGAGCUUCAUUGAACAGACAUAACACUUCUACCUCGUCCAUCUUGGCUUGGUCCUCUUCGGUAACCAAGCACUGAAGGUAGGUGGCCACCUUUAAGGGGGCAGAAAAGACCCAGACAUCCUCUGGAAUC